UCCGGUUUGGCACCGGCAGUCUCCGAUGAGUUCCCGGCAUUACCCGCUGGUAACAAAACAUGAGGGUUGCGCUCGUUGCGGGACUUAACCCAACAUUUCACAACCCGAGCUGACGACAGCCAUGCACCACCUGUGCAACACCUUCGAAAGCGAGUGGCUUUCACCACCUUGCAGUUGCAUGUCAAGCCCUGGUAAGGUUCUUCGCGUUGCAUCGAAUUAAGCCACAUGCUCCACCGCUUGUGCGGGCCCCCGCCAAUUCCUUUGAGUUUCAACCUUGCGGCCGUAGUCCCCAGGCGGUUCACUUAAUGCGUUAGCUGCGGCACCGAGGCUUACGCCCCAACACCUAGUGAACAUCGUUUAUGGCGUGGACUAC
rnacentral:misc_RNA from 1 species